UACAGAGGUGGCAAGCGUUGUUCGGAAUUACUGGGCGUAAAGGGCGCGUAGGCGGUCUUAUAAGUCUCGUGUGAAAUCCCUCGGCUUAACUGAGGAACUGCACGGGAUACUGCAAGACUUGAGAUCGGGAGAGGGAAGCGGAAUUCCGGGUGUAGCGGUGAAAUGCGUAGAUAUCCGGAGGAACACCGGUGGCGAAGGCGGCUUCCUGGACCGACACUGACGCUGAGGCGCGAAAGCGUGGGUAGCAAACAGG
rnacentral:rRNA from 1 species